CCUACGGGAGGCUGCAGUGGGGAAUAUUGGACAAUGGGGGGAACCCUGAUCCAGCCAUGCCGCGUGUGUGAAGAAGGCCCUCGGGUUGUAAAGCACUUUCAGUGAGGAAGAACGCCUGGUGGUUAAUACCCAUCAGGAAAGACAUCACUCACAGAAGAAGCACCGGCUAACUCCGUGCCAGCAGCCGCGGUAAUACGGAGGGUGCGAGCGUUAAUCGGAAUUACUGGGCGUAAAGCGCGCGUAGGUGGCUUGAUAAGCCGGUUGUGAAAGCCCCGGGCUCAACCUGGGAACGGCAUCCGGAACUGUCAAGCUAGAGUGCAGGAGAGGAAGGUAGAAUUCCCGGUGUAGCGGUGAAAUGCGUAGAGAUCGGGAGGAAUACCAGUGGCGAAGGCGGCCUUCUGGACUGACACUGACACUGAGGUGUGAAAGCGUGGGUAGCAAACAGGAUUAGAUACCCUGGUAGUC
rnacentral:rRNA from 1 species